rnacentral:rRNA from 1 species
AGUGAACGCUGGCGGUAGGCCUAAAACAUGCAAGUCGAACGGCAGCACAGUAAGAGCUUGCUCUUACGGGUGGCGAGUGGCGGACGGGUGAGGAAUACAUCGGAAUCUACUUUUUCGUGGGGAUAACGUAGGGAAACUUACGCUAAUACCGCAUACGACCUACGGGUGAAAGCAGGGGGUCUUCGGACCUUGCGCGAUUGAAUGAGCCGAUGUCGGAUUAGCUAGUUGGCGGGGUAAAGGCCCACCAAGGCGACGAUCCGUAGCUGGUCUGAGAGGAUGAUCAGCCACACUGGAACUGAGACACGGUCCAGACUCCUACGGGAGGCAGCAGUGGGGAAUAUUGGACAAUGGGCGCAAGCCUGAUCCAGCCAUACCGCGUGGGUGAAGAAGGCCUUCGGGUUGUAAAGCCCUUUUGUUGGGAAAGAAAAGCAGCAGGUUAAUACCCCGCUGUUCUGACGGUACCCAAAGAAUAAGCACCGGCUAACUUCGUG